GGAUUCCCCUAGUAACUGCGAGUGAAGCGGGAAAAGCUCAAAUUUAAAAUCUGGCGGUCUUUGGCUGUCCGAGUUGUAAUCUAGAGAAGUGUUAUCCGUGCUGGACCGUGUACAAGUCUCCUGGAAUGGAGCGUCAUAGAGGGUGAGAAUCCCGUCUUUGACACGGACUGCCAGGACUUUGUGAUGCGCUCUCAAAGAGUCGAGUUGUUUGGGAAUGCAGCUCAAAAUGGGUGGUAAAUUCCAUCUAAAGCUAAAUAUUGGCGAGAGACCGAUAGCGAACAAGUACCGUGAGGGAAAGAUGAAAAGAACUUUGGAAAGAGAGUUAAACAGUACGUGAAAUUGCUGAAAGGGAAACGCUUGAAGUCAGUCGCGUUGUCCAGGGAUCAACCUUGCUUUUGCUUGGUGCACUUUCUGGUUGACGGGUCAGCAUCAAUUUUGAUCAUUGGAAAAAGAUUAGGGGAAUGUGGCAUCUUCGGAUGUGUUAUAGCCCUUGGUUGCAUACAAUGGUUGGGAUUGAGGAACUCAGCACGCCGCAAGGCCGGGUUUUUAACCACGUACGUGCUUAGGAUGCUGGCAUAAUGGCUUUAAUCGACCCGUCUUGAAACACGGACCAAGGAGUCUAACAUGCCUGCGAGUGUUUGGGUGGAAAACCCGAGCGCGUAAUGAAAGUGAAAGUUGAGAUCCCUGUCGUGGGGAGCAUCGACGCCCGGACCAGACCUUUUGUGACGGUUCCGCGGUAGAGCAUGUAUGUUGGGACCCGAAAGAUGGUGAACUAUGCCUGAAUAGGGUGAAGCCAGAGGAAACUCUGGUGGAGGCUCGUAGCGAUUCUGACGUGCAAAUCGAUCGUCAAAUUUGGGUAUAGGGGCGAAAGACUAAUCGAAACCAUCUARUAGCUGGUUCUGCGAU
rnacentral:rRNA from 1 species